UGCCGAUGAGAUAGGGAGAGAAGAGGCAGGGAGACCAAAGUUCUGGGGAUGUCGCCUUCUUCACUUUUUCCGCCGAAAAGCUGGGAAAUACAACCUGGCCAAGGCUGAGGAAGUCUGCCAGAAGGAGGCGGCAUUGUAUCGGAGACUUAAUGAUGGUCAGACUUCUCUACAACAGGGAUGUGUUGUUGUCGAGAUCCAUGAUCAUCAAGACCCUCCAGUCUCUGAAGUCCUCCCUGCUAUAGAGAAACUGCUGGAGCCGGACGUCCCCCAACAACUGGAUGUCAACAUUCCAGCUAGUUUGAAUGAAGAGGACAAAGUGGAAGAGCUGGCCAAGGAUCAGAUUUGUCUGCAGGAUAAUUGCACUGAAGACAAUGAAGUGGAGGAGCA